rnacentral:rRNA from 1 species
GACGAACGCUGGCGGCGUGCUUAACACAUGCAAGUCGAGCGGUAAGGCCCUUUCGGGGGUACACGAGCGGCGAACGGGUGAGUAACACGUGGGUGACCUGCCCUCAGCUCUGGGAUAAGCCCGGGAAACUGGGUCUAAUACUGGAUAUGACUCCAUGACGCAUGUUGUGGGGUGGAAAGCCUUGUGCGGCUGAGGAUGGGCCCGCGGCCUAUCAGCUUGUUGGUGGGGNGAUGGCCUACCAAGGCGACGACGGGUAGCCGGCCUGAGAGGGCGACCGGCCACACUGGGACUGAGACACGGCCCAGACUCCUACGGGAGGCAGCAGU